rnacentral:rRNA from 1 species
CUACGGGAUGCUCCAGUGGGGAAUAUUGCACAAUGGGCGCAAGCCUGAUGCAGCCAUGCCGCGUGUAUGAAGAAGGCCUUCGGGUUGUAAAGUACUUUCAGCGGGGAGGAAGGGAGUAAAGUUAAUACCUUUGCUCAUUGACGUUACCCGCAGAAGAAGCACCGGCUAACUCCGUGCCAGCAGCCGCGGUAAUACGGAGGGUGCAAGCGUUAAUCGGAAUUACUGGGCGUAAAGCGCACGCAGGCGGUUUGUUAAGUCGGAUGUGAAAUCCCCGGGCUCAACCUGGGAACUGCAUCUGAUACUGGCAAGCGUGAGUGUCGUAGAGGGGGGUAGAAUUCCAGGUGUAGCGGUGAAAUGCGUAGAGAUCUGGAGGAAUACCGGUGGCGAAGGCGGCCCCCUGGACGAAGACUGACGCUCAGGUGCGAAAGCGUGGGGAGCAAACAGGGUUAGAUACCCGAGUAGUC